rnacentral:rRNA from 1 species
UCUAAGCACACGCCGAUUAAUGGCAAAGCCGCGAAUAGCUCAUUACAACAGCCAUAGUUUAUUAGAUCUUAUUUUCCUACUUGGAUAACUGUGGUAAUUCUAGAGCUAAUACAUGCAUUGAAGCCGAAACCUUACGGAAUCGGCGCAUUUAUUAGAACAAAGCCAAUCGGACCUCGGUCCGCUCUUUGGUGAAUCUGAAUAACUCAGCCGAUCGCACGGUCCUCGUACCGGCGACGUAUCUUUCAAAUGUCUGCCUUAUCAACUUUCGAUGGUAGUUUAUGCGCCUACCAUGGUUGUAACGGGUAACGGAGAAUAAGGGUUCGAUACCGGAGAGGGAGCCUGAGAAACGGCUACCACAUCCAAGGAAGGCAGCAGGCACGCAAAUUACCCACUCCCGGCAAGGUGAGGUAGUGACGAAAAAUAACGAGAUGAUUCUCUCAGAGGCUCAUCAUCGGAAUGAGAACAAUUUAAA